UACGUAGGGUGCAAGCGUUAAUCGGAAUUACUGGGCGUAAAGCGUGCGCAGGCGGUUUUGUAAGUCUGACGUGAAAUCCCCGGGCUCAACCUGGGAAUUGCAUUCGAGACUGUGUAGCUAGGGUACGGAAGAGGGAAGCGGAAUUUCAGGUGUAGUCGGUGAAAUGCGUAGAUAUCUGAAGGAACACCAGUGGCGAAAAGCGGCUUC
rnacentral:rRNA from 1 species